UGUGGAAAAGAUGGCAUCAUUCCUGAAGGGAACACAGAGAAUCGGGUGGCACGAAGACAAAAGCCCUCUGGAUUGCUGCAAGAAGUGUCCUCAGGUUCAUUGUUGUAUGAGGAAAAGAACAGCUCCCCUAAAGAUCAAAAACACAGAAAUUGUGUGGAAUCACAGAGAAGGGAAAGGCUGAGAGAAUCGGAGGAGAAGCUGCAGUAACACAACUGCCACAAAUUCAAGCAAAAGCAUCAAAACCUGAUAACGAGAGAGACAAGCUAGAGCUCUCUGUGAGCCCUCCGCGGACAUCUUUCUAAACCCAAGUCAGAUCUACGUGGGGAAGCUUGCAGCAGAGUGAUGCCUGUCCUGUGUCACCUGGUUUUUAUUAGAUGUACUGAAUGUGUUGAUGGAAGAGGAAACAGACAGUAGAGAGGAAAGGGAGAGAGCGAAGGGAGGUGGGAUUUUCGCAGCACUGAAAGUGCCCAGAUUUGAAAAGAGACAGGCAAUCCUGAGUUCAAACCCUGCCUGUUCCACUUACGGCCUCUGUUACUUGAACCUGUUCUCCGCACUCUGAACAGAGAUAAUGAAUCUGUAUCACAGGGUUAUUAUGCUGUAGAUAACCCUAUCUAUAUCACAAGGAGAACACAGGGAACAACAAAUAAAGUAUGCAAAAUUUGCUUCCUUUCUUUUUCUGUUGUUUGGUGAAGAAGAUGAUUAGGGCAAGAAUUUUUAAAAAAUAAAAUUAUUUUUAGCAUCAUUUAAAGACCAAG
rnacentral:lncRNA from 1 species